GUUGUGAAAUGUUGGUUAAGUCCCGCAACGAGCGCAACCCCUUAUCCUUGUUGCCAGCGGUUCGGCCGGGAACUCAAAGGAGACUGCCAGUGAUAAACUGGAGGAAGGUGGGGAUGUCGUCAAGUCAUCAUGGCCCUUACGAGUAGGGCUACACACGUGCUACAAUGGCAUAUACAAAGAGAAGCGACCUCGCGAGAGCAAGCGGACCUCAUAAAGUAUGUCGUAGUCCGGAUUGGAGUCUGCAACUCGACUCCAUGAAGUCGGAAUCGCUAGUAAUCGUAGAUCAGAAUGCUACGGUGAAUACGUUCCCGGGCCUU
rnacentral:rRNA from 1 species